rnacentral:rRNA from 1 species
CAGUAGCCGCGGUAAUGCGUAGGGUGCGAGCGUUAAUCGGAAUUACUGGGCGUAAAGCGUGCGCAGGCGGUUGUGUAAGACAGGUGUGAAAUCCCCGGGCUUAACCUGGGAACUGCGCUUGUGACUGCACAGCUAGAGUAUGGCAGAGGGGGGUGGAAUUCCACGUGUAGCAGUGAAAUGCGUAGAGAUGUGGAGGAACACCGAUGGCGAAGGCAGCCCCCUGGGCCAAUACUGACGCUCAUGCACGAAAGCGUGGGGAGCGAACAGGAUUAGAUACCCCCGUAGUCCCUGUCUCUUAUAC